rnacentral:lncRNA from 1 species
GGUACAUAGGCUGCAUUCAUCACCCAGGCUGGAGUGCAGUGGUGCAAUCAUAGCUAACUGCAGUCUGGAACUACAGGGCUCAAGCAAACCUCCCCUCAUACUCCUAAGUAGCUAGAGACACAGGUGGUCCUCGUGCCUAAGCCUUCCAGAGUGCUGGGAUUACAGUCAUGAGCCACUGCACCAUCUCAUGGUUCAGUAACUACUGAACUAUGUCUGAUUUAAAAAAUAUACCCUGCUUUAAUUAAUUACAAAAUGUCAAGCGGUUUCCUUCCUUUCUUCUUUUCUUCUCUGCCUCCUCUCAUUUCUUCCCUAGUUCGUUUUUCUAACAAUAUUAGGUACAGUUCCAGUGGAUCUAAGAUAUUCAUGUUCUAGUGCACAAAAAGCAAACUAAUAGUCCAAAAGCACACUACCAAACAGCAAACUAACAGGUAAGAUAUGGCAGAUGUCAAUAUACUCAUUUAAAAACUACAAUUAAACCUAAAGCAUAUACACUUUAUGUUGGAACACCAAAAUGUAGGCAUUAUUUCACCCAUGAUUUUCUGCUUCUCCAAGUUAGGAAGUGUGGUGAUUAUGUAUGACAGGUGGAACAAGCAUGGUGGCAUAGAAAUACAGUAGUGACCUUCUCAUGCUAGGGAUGGUCUCACCCUCCAGGAACAGUAAGCCAUUUUAGAAGACUGAUGGACCAGAACAUGGCUUCAUAUUUUAUAAUUAAGUAAAACAGAUAUCUUGUCUUCUAUAAGCAAACAUCAUGUUCUUUGAAAAGGCCAUGCCUUUCAAUUACAAGGGAAGUAUCAACAAAGAGCCACUGUCUUAUCACAGUUGUGGCAAUACACUGGUUGCUUAUGGAUACAAUCCAUGAAUGGGUUUUUAUAGUGAUAUUUAUGCUGGGUUUUUAUCCUCCUUCUUCACCUUCUUCUGCUUCUCCCCCUCCUCCUCUUUCUCCUCUUCUUCUCUGGGCUCCUCUUCCUCCAUUUUCUGCUUCUCCUCCUCCUCCUUAUUCUCCGAAUCUCCUGUGAUGAAAAU